UACCCAGCAAUUCUUAUCCCUACCUCCUCGUGGUACUAGCCGGGGUACGAGUAACCUUAGGGAAGAUCAAGUAAUCAACCCCGGUGGGAACUCUGGUCGUAUUCUGCCAGGGAAGG
rnacentral:ribozyme from 1 species